GUUUGCUCUCUUUGGCUGCUGCUUCUUCUCCUGGUCAGAUGUAUCUCAACUUAGGCUGUUCCAAGGUGCCUGCCAUGGCCAAUUCUCCUGGGAAUUGAACACGUGUGACUCAGCUAGCUGCCACCAGGUUCCAGAUGAUACCAUGAUGCCAACCUGACUUCCUUGGGCAGACGACCCCACCAGUGUGACCUUGAGCCUCGCCUCUCCAGAUCCCCGCCCCACUAGGGAAAGAGAGACAGGCUGGGAGUAUGGAUUGACCUGCCAACACCCAUGUUCAGUAGAAAAGCAAUUACAGAAGCCAGACCUCCCACCUCCUGCACCCCAUAAUGAUCCUGAGUCCAUACUCCCAGAGGGAUAAAGAAUAAGAAAGCUGUCAAGGGAUACAGAGUUCUGGUGGUGGCAAUUGUGUGGAAAUGUACCCCUCUUAUCCUAUGGUCUAGUCAAUAUUUCCAUUUUAUAAAUAAAAAUUUUAAAAAAGAA